rnacentral:rRNA from 1 species
UCGAACGAACGUAGCAAUACGUUAGUGGCGCACGGGUGAGUAACGCGUGGAUAUCUGCCUUUUGGUUCGGGAUAACCUUGGGAAACUAGGGCUAAUACCGAAUGGUUCCUACGGGAUAAAGAUUUAUCGCCAAAAGAUGAGUCCGCGUCCGAUUAGCUAGUUGGUGAGGUAAUGGCUCACCAAGGCGACGAUCGGUAGCUGGUCUGAGAGGACGAUCAGCCACACUGGGACUGAGACACGGCCCAGACNNNUACGGGAGGCAGCAGUGGGGAANAUUGGACAAUGGGGGCAACCCUGAUCCAGCCAUGCCGCGUGAGUGAUGAAGGCCUNNGGGUUGUAAAGCUCUUUUGGCGGGGACGAUGAUGACGGUACCCGCAGAAUAAGCCCCGGCUAACUUCGUGCCANNAGCCGCG